UAUUGUUUUCCAUUUAGCUGUAUUGUUCUUUGUUUUCUUUUAUGUAAUUGAAUACCAAAAUUACAUUUUGGAAGGAGAAUGGUUUCUAAUAGUACUUUUCAAACUCAAAAUAAACUCGGUGAGAAACAAAACAAAAAAAUUUAAAUACUGCCUUAUAUUCUGCCGGAUUCUUGGAAGUUGUGGAAGCCGGGUAAUUUGGGAGGUCUACCUGUUUGAUUGGCACAUCCAUUCUUUUAUCAUAUGAUGCUUGCUUUUCCAUCUUUAAAAUGUUCGUUUGGAUGAUAGGAGAGGAAAGAGAAGCUUAGCGAAAGAAUUGGGGCUCUGCAACAGCUUGUUUCACCAUAUGGGAAGACAGACACAGCUUCCGUUCUUCUAGGGGCUAUGGAAUAUAUUAGAUUUCUGCACGAACAAGUUAAGGUUUGGCCUUCCCCUGCUUUAGUUUGCUUGAAGAUUACCUAACUGUUCAAUUUUACUUUUUAUGGGAUGUCUUGAAGAAACUUUUGGUCGUCUGUAAGCUUGCCCUAAACUAUGCUGGCUUAAAGUUAUGCAAUGGAAAAUCCUUGUAUGAAUUACUUGGCCAAAAUCAUCCUAGUUUUAUUUUAACAUCCAAAUAAACACAUGCCUGUUUGAAUGCUUAUUAUUCUUUAUUUUGAAAAAGAAUACCAAUCAUUAUAAAGGGUGAUUUGGGAAUGGCCAUCAUUUCAUCAGUAACAAUCCCCGCACGAUAUCUUACGUACAGUAUAGAAAAAUAAAUAGGCACAUACCUGUGUUUCAUAAAACCAGUAUCACAUGUAAGACCACACCAGUUCAACCAUCUCAUAGGCCAAUCAGUUUAGUCGAUGGUUGUAACAUAUCAGUACUCAAAUAAGUGAACACAUUUUAAAGGUCAUUUAAGUUUUCAAGCCAAACUUGAACAAAUUACUACUCGGUUCAAUACGCUUAUAUGCAUUAUAAAAAACAAGCUACUAAAGAUUGACUCGUUAUCGGCUCGUUUAAAACUUAUUUGAGAUCGCCUCGGAAAGUAAACGAGCCAAACAAGGCAAGCUUAAACGCAUUUUGAAGCUUUUCAAGGUAAACAGCCCAAGACUUUGGGGUGAUGGACAAGCCAAACAAGUCAAGCUCGACUCAUGUUCAACUAGUUAAAAGUUGUUCGAGUUUAGUUCGUUAAGUAAACACGCCAAACUUGAACACAUUUUGGAUAUCUUUAACGCUUUCAAACCAAGUUUGAAUAGCCAAUUGCUUGUUCAGCUCGGCUCGAUAAGCCUAAAACUACAUAAAAAUUCCAAACUACUUGUACUCGGACUUCGACAAAAGCUAGUUUGAGAUCAGCUAAAAAAUUUAACAUUCGAGCUUGAAUAAAUUUUGAAACUGUUAAAAUUUUCAAAUCAAGCUUAAACAAUUAACUGUUCAGCUCAUUCAUCACCCUACCAAGACUGACUAGUUUACAGCUAUAAUUAUUGCGAAGAAUGUCAUGCAAUAUCAAAAGAUCUUACAAAAGUUCCAUAACUUGAGCUGUGUUGGCCGCACCGAAUCUAAGCCUUGGAUUUGGAAUUGGAGGCUACUCCAUUAAAUUUUUUCACCGAGAUAGCUUCCAGUUUCAAUACCAAAUCUAGCAUUCCAUGCUUCCAAACACAUUUUUAACAGAAUCACGAAUCUUAAUUUCUUCUCUUCUUCUUCCAUUGCAUUAUCAACAAAUUCAUUAAACAUCCAAUAGUUCGAUACAGGUGUGUGUACGUACAAAUAUAUAUGAGUGGAGAUUGGUGGUCUAGGGUUUUGGGGGAGAGACAUGAAUGAGAGAGAGGAGGAUGAGAGGUUUGGUCCAUGGAAGA